rnacentral:tRNA from 1 species
AGAAAGCAUGCAAGAACUGCUAACUCAUGCUACCGUGACUGAACUCACGGCUUUCUU